GAUGAAGAACGUAGCGAAAUGCGAUAAGUAAUGCGAAUUGCAGAAUUUCCGUGAGUCAUCGAAUCUUUGAACGCACAUUGCGCCCACUGGUAUUCCGGUGGGCAUGCCUGUUCGAGCGUCAUUAUCCUCCCUCAAACCUCGGGUUUGGUGUUGGACCCAAGUUGUGUGAACAACUGGUCUUAAAGACAAUGACGGCGUCCGUGGGACCCUCGGUGCAACGAGCUUUUAGGAGCACGCGUCGAGUUUCAAGGACCUUCCGGGCCGGUCUCCUUUACCAUUUUACAAGGUUGACCUCGGAUCAGGUAGCAAUACCCGCUGAACUUAAGCAUAUCAAUAAGCGGAGGA
rnacentral:misc_RNA from 1 species